AGCGAUACUGACGUGCAAAUCGUUCGUCUGACUUGGGUAUAGGGGCGAAAGACUAAUCGAACCAUCUAGUAGCUGGUGCCCUCCGAAGUUUCCCUCAGGAUAGCUGGAGCCCAUUACGAGUUCUAUCAGGUAAAGCCAAUGAUUAGAGGCAUUGGGGACGCAACGUCCUCGACCUAUUCUCAAACUUUAAAUAGGUAGGAUGGCUCGGCUG
rnacentral:ncRNA from 1 species